rnacentral:rRNA from 2 species
ACUGUGUGUUGUUGGGUAGGGGAGCGUUCUGUAAGCCUGUGAAGGUGUGUCGUGAGGCAUGCUGGAGGUAUCAGAAGUGCGAAUGCUGACAUAAGUAACGAUAAAGCGGGUGAAAAGCCCGCUCGCCGGAAGACCAAGGGUUCCUGUCCAACGUUAAUCGGGGCAGGGUGAGUCGACCCCUAAGGCGAGGCCGAAAGGCGUAGUCGAUGGGAAACGGGUUAAUAUUCCCGUACUUGGUGUUACUGCGAAGGGGGGACGGAGAAGGCUAUGUUGGCCGGGCGACGGUUGUCCCGGUUUAAGCGUGUAGGUGUGUGUUCCAGGUAAAUCCGGUUCACUUUAACACUGAGGCGUGACGACGAGGCACUACGGUGCUGAAGCAACAAAUGCCCUGCUUCCAGGAAAAGCCUCUAAGCAUCAGGUAACACGAAAUCGUACCCCAAACCGACACAGGUGGUCAGGUAGAGAAUACCAAGGCGCUUGAGAGAACUCGGGUGAAGGAACUAGGCAAAAUGGUGCCGUAACUUCGGGAGAAGGCACGCUGACACGUAGGUGAAGUGAUUUACUCAUGGAGCUGAAGUCAGUCGAAGAUACCAGCUGGCUGCAACUGUUUAUUAAAAACACAGCACUGUGCAAACACGAAAGUGGACGUAUACGGUGUGACGCCUGCCCGGUGCCGGAAGGUUAAUUGAUGGGGUCAGCGCAAGCGAAGCUCCUGAUCGAAGCCCCGGUAAACGGCGGCCGUAACUAUAACGGUCCUAAGGUAGCGAAAUUCCUUGUCGGGUAAGUUCCGACCUGCACGAAUGGCGUAAUGAUGGCCAGGCUGUCUCCACCCGAGACUCAGUGAAAUUGAACUCGCUGUGAAGAUGCAGUGUACCCGCGGCAAGACGGAAAGACCCCGUGAACCUUUACUAUAGCUUGACACUGAACAUUGAGCCUUGAUGUGUAGGAUAGGUGGGAGGCUUUGAAGUGUGGACGCCAGUCUGCAUGGAGCCGACCUUGAAAUACCACCCUUUAAUGUUUGAUGUUCUAACGUGGACCCGUGAUCCGGGUUGCGGACAGUGUCUGGUGGGUAGUUUGACUGGGGCGGUCUCCUCCUAAAGAGUAACGGAGGAGCACGAAGGUUGGCUAAUCCUGGUCGGACAUCAGGAGGUUAGUGCAAUGGCAUAAGCCAGCUUGACUGCGAGCGUGACGGCGCGAGCAGGUGCGAAAGCAGGUCAUAGUGAUCCGGUGGUUCUGAAUGGAAGGGCCAUCGCUCAACGGAUAAAAGGUACUCCGGGGAUAACAGGCUGAUACCGCCCAAGAGUUCAUAUCGACGGCGGUGUUUGGCACCUCGAUGUCGGCUCAUCACAUCCUGGGGCUGAAGUAGGUCCCAAGGGUAUGGCUGUUCGCCAUUUAAAGUGGUACGCGAGCUGGGUUUAGAACGUCGUGAGACAGUUCGGUCCCUAUCUGCCGUGGGCGCUGGAGAACUGAGGGGGGCUGCUCCUAGUACGAGAGGACCGGAGUGGACGCAUCACUGGUGUUCGGGUUGUCAUGCCAAUGGCACUGCCCGGUAGCUAAAUGCGGAAGAGAUAAGUGCUGAAAGCAUCUAAGCACGAAACUUGCCCCGA